GCCUGGGUGGCUCAGUCGGUUAAGCAUCUGACUUCAGUUCAGGUCAUGAUCUCACGUCUCGUGGGUUCGAGCCCCACGUCAGGUU
rnacentral:tRNA from 1 species